UAAGGAAUAUUGGACAAUGGAGGCAACUCUGAUCCAGCCAUGCCGCGUGAAGGAAUAAGGCCCUAUGGGUUGUAAACUUCUUUUAGACGGGACAAAACCCCUUUACGUGUAAAGGGUUGAUGGUACUGUCAGAAUAAGCAUCGGCUAACUUCGUGCCAGCAGCCGCGGUAAUACGAAGGAUGCAAGCGUUAUCCGGAAUUAUUGGGUUUAAAGGGUGCGUAGGCGGACUAAUAAGUCAGUGGUGAAAGCCUGCAGCUUAACUGCAGAAUUGCCAUUGAUACUGUUAGUCUUGAGUACAGUUGAGGUAGGCGGAAUGUGUCAUGUAGCGGUGAAAUGCUUAGAUAUGACACAGAACACCGAUUGCGAAGGCAGCUUGCUAAGCUGUAACUGACGCUGAGGCACGAAAGCGUGGGGGGUAAACA
rnacentral:rRNA from 1 species